rnacentral:rRNA from 1 species
AACGCGAAGAACCUUACCUGGGCUUGAACUGUAGGCAUAUCUACCUGAAAGGGAUAGACAUCCUCCUUUGGAGGAACCUGCAGAGGUGCUGCAUGGCUGUCGUCAGCUCGUGCCGUGAGGUGUUCGGUUAAGUCCGGCAACGAGCGCAACCCGUGUCGUCAGUUGCCAUCGGGUAAUGCCGGGGACUCUGGCGAGACUGCCCGUGUCAAGCGGGAGGAAGGCGCGGAUGACGUCAAGUCCGUAUGGCUCUUACGCCCAGGGCUGCACACGUGCUACAAUGGCCGGUACAGUGGGACGCGACACCGCGAGGUGGAGCAAAUCCCCAAAACCGGCCCCAGUUCAGAUUGCAGUCUGCAACUCGACUGCAUGAAGUCGGAAUCGCUAGUAAUGGCGCAUCAGCUACGGCGCCGUGAAUACGUUCCCGGGUCUUGUACACACGC